ACUAUGUAACGCACCGAACUGUUUUGCCUUAGCAAUAAAAACCGAGCAGAAGCUCGAUGACUUCUCUUUACACCUCGAACGGAACAAGUACUCUUUCCUUUACCCAAUACCACGCCGAAACCUCGCAAUACUUAGCCCUCACUCACUUAUCAGUGACGACGAGGAGGAUAAUUUUUUUUGCAUUUUUCGGGUGCGCGGAACUUGAUUAAAAAUCGAAUUGCAUUAGUUUCGCGGGUGCAGUUUGCAAAAAAAAAAAAAAAAAGACUUUGAACCGAACUUUCGGGUGAGCGGUUAAGUGUUCUACGGUUGCGGAAUUUCUUGUUUCGGGUGACGCCGGAGCGGAUUGGACGAGAGCUGCUUGGAGGUGCCGGAUUUUUCGAGGACGCCGGUUGGAAACGCUCGACGUUUGGGUGUUUUCCCGGAGGAAGCGGCACGCGGCGAUCAGGCGAGGUCCAGAACAAAGGCGGCACGGUGAGCAUCAACUUCUGCGACGCCAUUUUGUUGGAAGGCACGCGCGUCGUUCUUUUGUUUGGUGAUUGCUGAUUGGCAAGUGUGUGCUGGCGGGAGAUCUUGGCACGAGUAAUUCUUGUUUCCAAGUGUCUGGUUGGUUCCAACGUCACAGCCGGUCGGAUCGUCCAGGUUGCUGUUUAAGGAGAAAAUCUUCAAUCGCGGCGGCGGCGGUGGCUGAUUGUUCGCUGGAGGACGCUUGUGCUGUGCUGGGACGUACCGGGCACGCGGUAGCGGCCAUUUUGCUGUGUGUGUGAGAGGCGUUGUAAGCAAAUUUGCUGGCAAAGGCCGGAAUAGCAGAGCGAUACAAAUUGGAAACGCGGUGCUGAUCGCGCAGCGCGGACAGCUUAAACCGCGACGUGAACGCCGGCACGAACAUCCAAAUUUGAUGAUGCCGCUCGCAACGCCGGUGACAAAUGCGGCGGAAGACUACAUGGAUGUCGAGAUGGGAGAAGAUACAGAACUGAUGCGGGGCACUGGAUGCGGUGAGGGCCCGUUCCGAGGAUUCUUGGAACCGGUUCAAACGAAGAGCAGAAGAAGAAAGCGGGAUGCCGCUGUGGCGGAGUUGCCAGCGAUCUGUCUUCGACGUUCGAAACGUCAGAGAAAUCCUAAAAUGAACGAUGAAUUUGUUUAUAACUAGUGCAUAGCUUUUUCGAACUCAAACUCUUACAAUUUUCUUAUUAAAAUAACUUGUAAUUCGAAUACUUAAAUGAAUUGUUAAAAUUACUUAUUUCUAUUAAUUAAACACUGUAAUAACAAACUGAAAAGCGGAGGACUGAGGUGUACCGCCCUAACGCUUAGGCGUUGUCACGCACACUAACAAAAUACUAUGUAACGCACCGAACUGUUUUGCCUUAGCAAUAAAAACCGAGCAGAAGCUCGAUGACUUCUCUUUACACCUCGAACGGAACAAGUACUCUUUCCUUUACCCAAUACCACGCCGAAACCUCGCAAUACUUAGCCCUCACUCACUUAUCACGUACCAUCAAUUGUUGU
rnacentral:misc_RNA from 1 species